rnacentral:rRNA from 1 species
UACGAGGAGGGCAAGCGUUACUCGGAAUUACUGGGCGUAAAGCGUGCGUAGGUGGUUUGUUAAGUCUGUUGUGAAAGCCCCGGGCUCAACCUGGGAAUGGCAAUGGAUACUGGCAGGCUAGAGUGCGGUAGAGGGUAGUGGAAUUCCCGGUGUAGCGGUGAAAUGCGUAGAGAUCGGGAGGAACACCAGUGGCGAAGGCGGCUACCUGGACCAGCACUGACACUGAGGCACGAAGCGUGGGAGCAAACAGG